CCUANGGGUGGCAGCAGUGGGGAAUUUUGCGCAAUGGGGGAAACCCUGACGCAGCAACGCCGCGUGAGUGAUGAAGGCCUUCGGGUCGUAAAGCUCUUUUAGUGGGGAAGAAUCCCACCCGGGUUAAUACCUCGGGUGUCUGACGGUACCCACAGAAAAAGUUCCGGCUAACUACGUGCCAGCAGCCGCGGUAAUACGUAGGGAGCAAGCGUUGUUCGGAAUUAUUGGGCGUAAAGAGCGCGUAGGCGGUUCGGUAAGUCUGACGUGAAAUCCCAGAGCUUAACUCUGGAACUGCGUUGGAUACUGCCGAGCUUGAGUGUGGGAGAGGAGAGUGGAAUUCCCAGUGUAGAGGUGAAAUUCGUAGAUAUUGGGAGGAACACCCGUGGCGAAGGCGGCUCUCUGGACCACAACUGACGCUGAGGCGCGAAAGCUAGGGUAGCAAACGGGAUUAGAUACCCUANUANUC
rnacentral:rRNA from 1 species